GACGAACGCUGGCGGCGUGCUUAACACAUGCAAGUCGAACGAUGAAGAAAAGAAUCGCAGCUUCGGCAGAAAUUCAUUUCGGAUUAGUGGCAGACGGGUGAGUAACGCGUGAGCAACCUACCUCUUACAAAGGGAUAGCCUCGGGAAACCGGGAUUAAUACCAUAUAACAUUGCGACGAAGCAUUUCGAUGCAAUCAAAGCUACGGCGGUAAGAGAUGGGCUCGCGUCCCAUUAACCGGAUGGUGAGGUAACGGCUCACCAUAGUGACGAUGGGUAACCGGCCUGAGAGGGUGAACGGUCACACUGGAACUGAGACACGGUCCAGACUCCUACGGGAGGCAGCAGUGGGGAAUAUUGCACAAUGGAGGGAACUCUGAUGCAGCGACGCCGCGUGAGUGAUGAAGGAAUUCGUUUCGUAAAACUCUGUUCUAUGGGAAGAAAAGGACUGUACCAUAGGAGAAAGCUCCGGCUAAAUACGUG
rnacentral:rRNA from 1 species